rnacentral:rRNA from 1 species
ACGGUUUGUGGUGGAAAGUCUUUUGCGGUGUGGAUGGGCCCGCGGCCUAUCAGCUUGUUGGGUGGGGUAAUGGCCUACCAAGGCGACGACGGGUAGCCGCCUGAGAGGGUGACCGGCCACACUGGGACUGAGAUACGGCCCAGACUCCUACGGGGAGGCAGCAGUGGGGAAUAUUGCACAAUGGGCGCAAGCCUGAUGCAGCGACGCCGCGUGAGGGAUGACGGCCUUCGGGUUGUAAACCUCUUUCAGCACAGACGAAGCGCAAGUGACGGUAUGUGCAGAAGAAGGACCGGCCAACUACGUG